UACGGGGGGGCAAGCGUUGUUCGGAAUUACUGGGCGUAAAGGGCUUGUAGGUGGCCAACUAAGUCAGACGUGAAAUCCCUCGGCUUAACCGGGGAACUGCGUCUGAUACUGGAUGGCGUAGAGUGUGGGAGAGGGAUGACGGAAUUCCAGGUGUAGCGGUGAAAUGCGUAGAUAUCUGGAAGGAACACCGGUGGCGAAGGCGGCAAGCC
rnacentral:rRNA from 1 species